CAGCCGCCGCGGUAAUACCCGCAGCCCAAGUGGUGGUCGAUUUUAUUGAGUCUAAAACGUUCGUAGCCGGUCCGGUAAAUCCCUGGGUAAAUCGGGAAGCUCAACUUUCCGACUUCCGGGGAGACUGCCGGACUUGGGACCGGGAGAGGCUAGAGGUACUUCUGGGGUAGGGGUAAAAUCCUGUAAUCCUGGAAGGACCACCGGUGGCGGAGGCGUCUAGCUAGAACGGAUCCGACGGUGAGGGACGAAGCCCUGGGUCGCAAACGGGAUUAGAUACCCCGGUAGUCCAGGGUGUAAACGCUGCAGACUUGGUGUUGGAGGCCCUUCGGGGGCAUCCAGUGCCGGAGAGAAGUUGUUAAGUCUGCUACUUGGGGAGUACGUCCGCAAGGAUGAAACUUAAAGGAAUUGGCGGGGGAGCAC
rnacentral:rRNA from 1 species